rnacentral:tRNA from 1 species
GGUGAUGUAGCUCAGCCGGUUAGAGCGCAGGAUUCAUAAUCCUGAGGUCGGGGGUUCGAUCCCCCCCAUCACCA